AUGCUGGCUCAGGAAAGUCCACAGGUGAGUCCUUUUCCCAUAUAAGAAUGUCACUGAACAUUCUCUUAUCGGGUCUUAUCCCUCCAGGAAGGAAGUGGAGUCUAGCCUUCCACGUCUUCUUACCUAAAAACUUACCCCAGGAGGACAUGUUCUCAUCAUCAACAUAAGCCCAGAUUGACAUCUUACCACAAAAGCCGAUCUUAAAAAGAGCGGAUUCGAUUUUCUGAUAGAUCCAAUCAGGACUGACACCAUCAGGGAAUGGGAAACCGUGGAGGUCCCAAAAGACACCCAUCUUAGCCCCUUCGACGGGUGUGAUAGGCUCUGCACGGUUUCACAUAACAGAAAACGUAUAAACGAGUUAAUUACGAAAUAAAAGAUACAAGAUAGGUUAGAUCUAUACAUUGACCAUUGUUAUACUAUAACAUAUCGACUAGAUCAGGGCUAGUUUAACUAUGACAGAUGGAUCAUAUAAAAUCUACAUUGACCAUUAUUAUACUAUGACUGAUCGACUAGAUCAGGGCUAGCUUAAAUAUGACAGAUCGAUUAUAUAAAAUCUAAACAAACAGAUUCGGGUUAGAGAUGGAGAGAGAUCUUACCGGAGAAAUCUUCGAUCUUGUAGAGGUCUUCGCCCAUGGUUCGACGGAGAGAAUUGGAGGAUUUCUGUCGCUAAAUUAGGGUUAGAACGGCCUUUGUAUUUGUCUACGGAUGCGAGAGAGAGAGAGAGCGCUUGUGGGUUUUAUCGCUGCGGCUGAGAAUCAUCUGUGCCUGGCACGUUUUUAACCGUUGGAUCUCAAUAAACUUUUUAAAGGUGUUACGUUACAUCUGAGGGUUGUUUUUUUUUAUUUUUCUUAUUUUAAUAAUUUUUUUCCUUUAUAGUACCAGAGCUUUACACGAUCUCCCUUAUCUGAAAACUAAUCUCCCUAGCGAUUAAUCAGAAAAUCAGAUUAAAAUCGGGAACUACUUUUGAGUUAUUUUCCCGAUUUUAAUAUUCUUAUAACAUAUUAAUCCAAUAUUUUUUUUCAAAAUUAUAGUAAAUACAUAAAAAUAUAUUUUAAGAUAAAAUUUUUAUGAUUUUUAUUAAAAAGUUUAUGAUUGUUAUUAAAAUUUGAACAAAAGUUAAUGUAAAACAUUACAAACUUCCAAUUCAAAUGUUUGAAUAACAAAAGCUAAAAGUUGUCUUUUACUUGCAAUAUAAAAAUAAUCGGGAUAUAUAAGAUUAGGCAGAGAGUAAUCGAAUUAGGCGGAAGUAAUCGGAUUAGACGGAAAGUAAUCAGAUAACCGAUUCUUUUAAGAGAUUAGUCAUUAACUUAGGCGGAUAGGGUGGGCCUAGCGAUGACACGGAGAGUAAUCAGAGCUAGGCGAACAAGGACCAUCUCCAAUGGUAAAACCCUUUGGGGGUUCUGAACCACUUUUUUUGUUUAAAUUUUGCAAAGUUCAAAACUAAGAAUUCUAUGAGAGGUUUUUAACCAUUUUCUCUUCCAAUGGUAAAAUUUCUAUGAGAUUCUUAAGAAAAAAAAAAUUCAAAUUUCGCAAAACAUUAAGUUAAAACAAGAUGAAGUCCAACAACACAAAUUAUCCAAAACUUUGUCACACAUACUACGACAGAUCCCGCAAGCACAUCGAUAAUGUAUGUAGCUCUUGACAUCGUUAACAUGAAGUAUAUACAGAGAGAGAGAUCACACAUUGAUGAUCAGAUAUUUCUCUUACUCUAUGUGGAUGAUAUGCUAGUAACAGCUAAAGACUUGGAGAAGAUCAAGGUCUUAGAAGAGUUUGAAUAAGGAGUUUGAGAUGAAGGAUCUAGGACCAGCCACUAGAAUCCUUGGAAUGGACAUCAUCAGGGACAGAGAGAAGGGGUUUUAAUGUUAUUAAAAUUAUUGUUUUAAUAAAAAAUGUUAUAGAAUAAAAUUUGGUAUAAAACAUCGUACAAGUAUAUGAUUUGUCAUUUUUCUUUAAUUGUUUUAUAUUAUUAAAUAUUUUGCUAUUAGUAAAGAUUUUAAAAAAUAUUUUGACAAAAUAUUAGAAAUUAAAAUACCAAAAUAUGUACCCGUUUAGGUAUAUAUGUAUUUGUUUAUUAGUAAAUUUUAUUGGGAAAUUGUUAAAAAUACCCCUUUUGGUGUGCCCCUUUUCAAAAAUGUCCAUUUUAGAUGUCCAUUUUCAAAAAUGCCCCUUUUUAAAUCUGAAAUUUUUAUAAAGUUUUAUUAGGUUUAUAAGGUACUUAUGGAUUGUAACUAUUACUUGAAGACUCGAUCCAAGUAUUUAUAAGGUUUUAUAAGGUGUUUUAAAAGGUUUUACAAGUUAUUUUAAAGGAUUUUUAAGGUUUUUCAAAGGUUUUAUAAGAUAUUUUAAAGGUUUUUAAAAGUAUUUAUAAAGUAUUUAUAAGAUUUUAGAUACAUAGAAAUGUAGUUUGUGUAUGUUUUAAUAAUAUUACAUACAUAUUUGGGUAAAUCUUAUAUUUUUAAGAGCAUUUUUUAUAAGGUUUUAAAAAAGGGGUAUUUUUGAAAAGUGACAUUGAAAAAGUGGCAUUUUUGCAAAAGCUCCAAUUUUAUUUGUGGUUUAAUUGAAAAUAAUUUUUAAAAUUUUUUUUGCCAAGUGGACUAACAAGGAAGAGUGAAACCUUACUUUUAUAUGUAUGAUUUGAUAGUAAUCAAACAAUUGAUUCUUACAUAUAAUUUAAAUUGUUAUUUAUUAUAAAGGCGCAAUAUGGAUGGACAACGAACGGGACAAUAAUAGUAUAUUUCUUCUCGAUCACAUCAUCGUGUAGGAGUGCUUUAGGGAUGGGAAUACAAAACAUAUUUGAUGAGACAAGCCGGACCGCGUUGAUUGUGGUUGGGGUCUUGAACGCAUGUUCCGCGGGAUUAUUGAACUAUAUGGCACUUGUUGAUGUUUUGGCUCUAAAAAUGGACAUGAAACUUGAGUCAUGUGCUUAUGUUGUCGUUUUUAUAGGUGUUGGGGGAAUGUAUUUGAUGUCUAAGUGGGCAUAGCACUGCUGAGUUAGAGGUCAUCCUUACUAGAGACAUAUUUGAUGUCGUUUUUUUCCAUGAGCUUUUUUAUAUUCUCUUGGAGACAUUUUGAAGUUUGGAAUUCAUGAGAGGUAGAAGAAAGAAUACUAGAGAUAAAUCCAGACAAUCCCAUCUUCAAGACUUAAAUCAAAAACGAAUUACGAAAUAAAAAUACAUAACAGUAAGUUUCGGUUAAGAGUGAAGCAAGUGAAGAAUCUUUUAAAACAAAAAGGUUUUAUUUGAAGAUAUGAAGGAGAAGACUCUAGAGGAGAAAGAGGGUUCAAAGCAAACUCAAGAUGUACAAACCCAUGUGUGAUCUGUGUGUUUUUAAAACAGAACCGUACAACUAAAGCUUAUGCCAUGAGGAGACAAAGUGUGCAAACCUCCCAAGAGCAUUGACACGGAAAGACGAAAUUAUUACCUGCCACUAUGCCAGUUGAGACUUGAGAAGAAACAUUGGGGGUUUUGGAUGUUUGAAAACAAGUUCUGGUAAAAGCAGCACAAGGUACUAUGUCAAAAGAUUCUAUCAAGCCUUGUCUAAUAGAAGAAACUUUGCUAAUGAAACAAACAAUGAUACCAAAAUAGUGAAAGAGAUAUACCCAAGUAGGAUCCAAAUGCCUUUGUACAGGUUGGAACAGAGGUGGUAAAACAUUAACAGAGAAAUGAAUGUAAGAGACAGAAUUAGCUAAUGCACGAUAUUGAUUUUCUUCUAUUAUAAAAAUAUUUGCAAGUCUCCUCUUUUGAAACUCAAUAUAUAUAUUCUUAGGAAAAAAAGCAUUCGAGCAGAGCUUACAAACACGUCCAUUGGAAUAAAAAAAACAGAAAACAAUUUGAACCCAAAGACAGAGCUUAGCAGAAGAAAGAAGAAACAUGAAUGUUUUCAUACACUAACCACAUAAAAAACAGUAGAAAGGAUAGGCAUUGCUUGCGUGUAUAGGCUUUCCUCCACCAAAAACUUUGGUACAAUCAACAACUGAUUCUACAGAAGGAAAUAGAGUAUCUUGUUGUGCGGUGUCACCAGGCGGCUGUAAUAAGAGAACAAUUUGAUUCCUCGAUUUCAUAGAAUGAAGAACCCUGUACAACUCAGGGUGUUGUUUCGCAAUAACCAUAUAAUUCAUGGGAAAGCUCACUGCUAAGAAAGAAACAAUCUCUCCAAUCAUCCUCCAAACACAAGAAUCAUCACCCGGUGAAACUAUAGAUAAACAAGAGACCUAGAUUACUACAGACAUAUAUAAUAAGUAGAAGAAACGAGAAGAGUGUAAGUUAAUAAGUAAAGGAAUAUUCAUUCACCUUCAGGAUCGUAUGCGAUAUUGGCCAUGGACAAGGCAUCUACGUCGUGGUACAAAUUUUUACCAAAGGCCAUGAUUGACAGAGGACCAUGAAAACCCAUUUUAUGGAGAGCUAAUUCGAUAUUAGGAUAAAUCACACCAAGAUUGGCACCUCUAGGGAUUGGAUAAUCCUCCAAGUUCCAGAAGACAACUGUCUCAUCCUCUUGACAAAACAGAAAACGCAUAAACGAGUGAGUUUCGAAAUAAAGGAUACAAGAUAUGUUAGAUCUACAUUGACCAUUAUUAUACUAUGACUGAUCGACUAAAUCAGGGCUAGCUUAACUAUGACAGAUCGAUCAUAUAAAACCUAAACAAACAGAUUCGGGUUAGAGAAAGAGAGAGAUCUUACUGGAGGCAUAUUCGAUCUUGGAGAGGUCUUCGCCCAUGGUUCGACGGAGAGAAUUGGAGGAUUUCUGUCGCUAAAUUAGGGUUAGAACGGCCUUUGUAUUUGUCUACGGAUGCGAGAGAGAGA
rnacentral:lncRNA from 1 species